rnacentral:rRNA from 1 species
GGCCAGACUCCUACGGGAGGCAGCAGUGGGGAAUUUUGGACAAUGGGCGCAAGCCUGAUCCAGCUAUUCCGCGUGUGGGAUGACGGCCCUCGGGUUGUAAACCACUUUAGUAGAGAACGAAAAGGAGCUAUCGAAUAAAUAGCUCUGCUGACGGUACUCUAAGAAUAAGCACCGGCUAACUACGUGCCAGCAGCCGCGGUAAUACGUAGGGAGCAAGCGUUGUCCGGAAUUACUGGGCGUAAAGGGCGCGUAGGUGGGCGCUUAAGUCAGGUGUGAAAACUCCGGGCUCAACCUGGAGACUGCACUUGAAACUGGGUGUCUUGAGGGCAGGAGAGGAAAGUGGAAUUCCUAGUGUAGCGGUGAAAUGCGUAGAUAUUAGGAGGAACACCAGUGGCGAAGGCGACUUUCUGGACUGUACCUGACGCUGAGGCGCGAAAGCGUGGGUAGCGAACGGGAUUAGAUACCCUAGUA